GAACAUCUUACGGAUGGCCCAGGGCUCCAAAGGCUCGUUUCCUAAGUGAGAGAGAGCCUGGCUGAAGCUGUAUUACCAUUCAUUCUCCAGCCUCCGAAGUCUCAAAGCAUCACUUCCACCAUACUCUAACUGUCAAGACAAACACAAAGGCCCAGAAACUGCCAGACUGUCUUCUGAAGUGGCUAUAAUAUUUACACUCCCAUCAGCAGUGUAGAAGGGGUCUCACUAUGUUGUCUGGAGUGCUGUGGUGGAGUGGAGUGGCUAUUCACAGCUGAGUUUGCAGAGUAAACCACUACCCUGAAAUCUGGAAAGGCAGGUGCACCCACAGAUCCUCAGCUGAGAUCCAAUUACCUGAAAUAGAAGCUGCCAUUAGGAACACUUAAAAGAGCCUGUUCUGCUGGGACACAGAAUCACUUGCUCCAUCUCAUACAUUGAUGAUGAUUAAUUUGUAUGUGUACCUUCCAAAAAAGAUGGUUGUGUUUGAAUGGAGGCCUUCUGGACAGGAAAAUUGCAAAGUACAAUUAACAUUUGAGUCUGUCUGAGUCAUGAAGAAAUGGAGAUUACUGAAAAUAAUUCAUUUUGGUAUCUUCUUACAUCCUGAGAGACUAAUCUUUCCAAGUUCAUCUGAGGCUCCUCUUCUCCAUGACAACCUCAUCCAGGGAUUUCUUCCUGUCCUGGUGUUUUAUGACAUAAUCACAUCCUUCCUGAGAUAAUGAGCACACAAUUGCCUGGAUACCUGAAGGAAUGGAGACAGCGGCAGAAAACACUGCAGAGAGAUACAGUGAACCCACAUGUUGAAGCUUUCUAGUAUAAUAAAAAUUUCAACUGUUCUGUUGAAUCAUCUGCCUGAUUGGAGGCUACAGAAAAGAUGUCAUCUUAGGAGUGCUUGCUCUGAGUGAGGCUCAUCUUCAAAUCUGAAUGACCACAAGGAGAUUUGAUUAUACAUGUGAACACCUCAGAAGGCACAGCCCACCCAGAAGGCAGACAGGUCAGGCUGCUUUUUCUUCAUUGCUUGGAUUCAAUCCUCCGGGCGGCUCAGGCUCAAACAUAACUUAAGCAUGAUUAAACUUUAGAAGAAGCUGCCAGGAAGACUGUGAAAUCUUCAUGCCCAAGGAUCCCUAAAAUUAGGAGCAACAACCACUUGGCUCAGACGGUUUAUGGAGGCAAAGGUUUGGAUGGGAUUAGAGAUUUCUAAAUGUGAGUUCGUGUCCUCUGCCAGACCACCUUACUUCCACCAUUCCUCAGCAAAUCAAGAAAAACAGGAGAAAAGACAUGCCUUUCCAUAAGUUAAAUCUAUUCUGUUUUAAUUCUAUAUUAUAUCUGCUGUACAACUUCUUUUGUUUGUAACACCAUAUUGUUGCUAGUAACUGGAAAUUAAUUUUCACAUGCCUCAGCUUAGAAAAAUAAAAA
rnacentral:lncRNA from 1 species